CCUUCCAUGCCUCUCAACGAUGCACAAACAGGAAGGU
rnacentral:sRNA from 12 species